rnacentral:rRNA from 1 species
UACGGGGGGGGGCAAGCGUUGUUCGGAAUUACUGGGCGUAAAGGGCUCGUAGGCGGCCAACUAAGUCAGACGUGAAAUCCCCCAGGCUCAACCUGGGAACUGCGUCUGAUACUGGAUGGCUUGAAUCCGGGAGAGGGAUGCAGAAUUCCAGGUGUAGCGGUGAAAUGCGUAGAUAUCUGGAGGAAUACCGGUGGCGAAGGCGGCAUCCUGGACCGGCAUUGACGCUGAGGAGCGAAAGCUAGGGGGAGCAAACGGGG